GUAUGGCAAUACAUAUUCUAAAAUUGGAACAAUACAGAGAAGAUUAGCAUUAGCCUCUAAGCAAGGAUGACAUGAAAAUUCAAGAAGCGUUCCAUAUUUUU
rnacentral:snRNA from 1 species